UUUGCUUGCAGAGAAAGGUCCCCAAGUCCCCAGAGAACUGCGUCGUCUCCCUCAAUGCGCGCGCGCGCGCACACACACACACACACACAAGCGCGCACAAAAGUUGAGGCCAUCACAUCUGCCUUCCCCAGAUGGGGUUCCCUGCGCAAAAGCCUCCUCCCACUCCAGGAUUUUCCGACACUGGCGCAAGCUCCUCCCUUGCCAGAGCCUGGCUCCAGUCCUAGCACCGAGAGCCCGCCCGAGCAGAGGCUGGGGGGCGGCGGGGAGUGGGCCCCGCUCGCCGCCAUUGGCUGUGCGGCUGUGGGGCGGAGGGAAGCCUCCCGCUGCGCCCGCCGCCCGCCGGUGCGCCCCAGCCGCGCGCAGCACCGGUGCGCUCCACCAUUCCCGCCGACCGCUUCUCCUGCGCAGGUCGGCGAGACGCGGGGCGUCCGCGAGGAGCUCGACGCAGCCCCGUCCCAGCCCGAGCUCGGGAGCCGGCGAGGGACAUCCGCGCCCCCCGAUCCGCAGGCAAAGCGCUUUGAAGAGCUCACCCUUAUGGUUCUCUAAAGAAGCCUCACUGAAGUGUCAAAGGACACCUGGUACCUGCCACCUUUGCUUGGAAACUGAGAAGUUGUGUUGUGCUGCAGUGUUUGCUGAUGCUAUCACGACAGAAGGAAUGCUGAUUCUGUCCCUUUUAACGCCUGUGUGAAACUGACUUUUCAUACACUGUGCAUUCUGUGACCUUCCAUAAAGAUGUCUGAACCUGACUCUUCCUCUGCGUUCUCGGGGAGUGUGGAUAACGGAACUUUCCUCCAGCUGUUUCCCACAUCCCUGUCCACAUCGGUGGACCCGUCCUCGGGCCACCUGUCAAAUGUCUACAUCUAUGUGUCCAUAUUCCUCAGCCUGUUAGCCUUUCUGCUCCUGCUUUUAAUCAUCGCCCUCCAGAGGCUCAAAAAUAUCAUCUCCUCCAGUUCCUCCUACCCGGAGUAUCCAAGCGACGCUGGGAGUUCUUUCACCAACUUGGAAGUCUGCAGUAUUUCCUCGCAAAGGUCCACUUUUUCAAACCUUUCCUCCUGAAUGGAAUAAUCCUUCAGUGCCGUGGUCGCUGAAGUUUUCCCUCAGGGGAAGUAUCACAGGAAGCAGGCACCUCGGGAAAGAAAUGCCCAUUUUGUUCUUUCUCACCAGUUAGACCUUGUUCUCCUCCUCCUUCAGCCCUGAUUUCUUUUUCUGUUCAUGAUGCUUUUAGUGUGAAUGUAGGAGUUGAUGCUGACAGAAAUGCUUGCAUGGUGAAGAAUUUCACCCAGAUCGCUUGAUGAACCUGGAGCUGGCUUCUCGGUGGGGCAGGCCACCCUCUUGGACACCGGAGGCCUAACUCACCUGAGGCAGCCUUGCAGAGGAAGCUGGAUCAGGGCUCUGCACUUUUGUUUCUCUUACAAAACCAUGAAACCAACGGAGCCAGCAGAAACUGGCAAAGUGAAGUCUGAGCUAUGUAGAAGAUAUUUUACAUAUUGAAAAGAUAAAGUGAAAAGCACCAAGUUUUAAAAAAAAAGUCAGUUUAGAUUUCAUGUAUAACAUCUCUACAACCAGAGGCAAAAAUAUGCUAAGUGUUUUAUUUCAUUUCACUUUAACCAAUGAAAAUCACAUUUAUUGAUGAAUUAAGUCAUAUAUGGAGAAGUUCUGGAAGACUUUAACUUUUAAUAGCAAGACAAAUAUGUAUUAUGAUGCCAUUUGUAACAUAUUUCUGCCUCUUGGGGUUUUUUUCCUACUUAUGUUAUAGUCUUAAUGACUCUAUGUUUGUGGAAUUGUUUGUGGAAUUCUUUGUGAUAAUUGCUGUUGCUAUUACUAAGACAGGCACCAGAACAGACACUGGAAAUUUUUAUUUUGUAUCUAUAAUUUCCAUCAGUGGGAAUCAUACAUACGGAAAAUACUCAUUUAGUUGUAUUUUGCACAGUAAUAACUCCUUGUGGUUGUGAAAGUAUGUUCCUUUAUUCAGUUUCACAGUCUUCAUAAGCUCAGUGCAGAAUUAUAUUGACUUCAAGAUGUCAGAUGUCUGUUCACUCACAUGAGGUUGCAAAACUUAGAAGACUCCACUGCUAAAUAUUUAUGUUGUUAUAUACUCUGUGAAUGUUACAUGUCUCUGAUAAUUCAUUGUUGUGUGUUACCAUAAGACUCUACAUUAGGAUUCCAGGAUGUGGAUUUAUGUUUAAAAUUGUAAACACUCACAUUGGGUAGGGGGCUGCUAUACUGUGGUCAGCCAAGCACACUUGAACUUGGGGCUCUGUGCAUGAAAGGAGGCACUCUGGAGAGCAUAGACAUGGAUAUGGAGGGACUCAAGUUGCCCCCCCCCCAAAAAAAACUAACAAAGCAAGCAAAGAGUAGCUUUGAUACUUUGCAGCUUCUUAAGAGUAAGAAUUUUAAUAUAAUUUUUGAAGUCAGUGGUCCACCGUGUAAAGACUGAAUGUAUUUAUCCUGCAAAGCUCCUGCAUCAGCAUGGCCCCAUCUGCCCAGGGCAACUGGACACUUCUUAUCCAAAAUAUUUAAUAAUCUGGAGUGGUGGGGCCUUCAAGCCACCCUUUGGUUUGGUUGCGUGGCUUCUGGAGUGGGAUAAAGAAUGCACCAUUUUUACAGGGCAUACCUUUGUCAUUCUAAAAUGCUGAGAGAGAUGCGAAUUCACAGUGAGGAUCAGAAGGUGUUUGUUUUUUUUUUUUAAAUCCAUAAGCCUUGCUGAAAUCCAACCAUAUCAGAAGGUUUAUGUAUCAUAAAUCUCCCCAAACACUAAAAGACCUGCACAGAGUUGCAGCCCUGAAAUGUAUAAUGAGUGAAAAUUUCCCGUUUGCUGUCAUUUAAAGCACAGCAGUGUGUUACAAUGUUAUUAUGUAGUAUAAAUGCUGGACUGGAAAAACUCUGCUAUUUUAGACCAUUAUUAGCAUUCUCAGUGUGUGUGUGUGUGUCCGUACACAACACAGAAUAUAUAAUAUAUAUAUAUAUAUAUUCACACCCUUCCCAAUUAAGAGUUGUGUGAAAGCUGCACAGGAUUACAGAGGCAUCUAUAUUAUCACUUUUGCUCUUUGAUUAAUCUUGUGCUAUUUUGGUUACCAAGGAAAAAAGGACUCCGAUGAACUGAUUUUAAAAAAUAGAGGAGAAAAUUUGCCACAUGACAGUAUAAUCUGCGAAUGAUCUGUUCUAAGGGGGUAACUUUACACUGUUUUCUUCUGGGGGAGAUCUAAAGGCUUCUAGGACUAAAACUAAUUUUUUUUUUUUUUAAAUUUUCAGGCACCCCCCCCCCUUCCCCCCCCCCCCCCCCCCCCCCGACGGUUCCAGCUCUCAAGGUUAGUGAUUGGGAGCAACAUUCAAAGACAUAAAAUAGGGUUUGCUACUCCCAGCUUGUCGGGAUAACACACUGUACCACCCGAGAUGAAUUUGUGUUAAGAAGUUCAGGAAGGUUGGAAGACUGGUUUAUAAAUAAAGAAAUCAAGCCCACUGGAAGCCUGGCUCUUCUCUUGUUUGUUCUCAGUGAGGCAGCCCACAAGCUUCCCUCCUGGGAAGGCUUUUUCCUUCGAGUCCUCCCUGAAGCAGGAUCAAUAAAGAGUGGUCAGAACAUCAGCCUCUCCCCACCUCUGAAGGGUCCCUUCCCUCUGGGGCAGUGAGUUCCAAAAGUCCCUGAUAAGAAGAAUCACCUGGAUGCUUGGGAAAUAUUCAGGAAAUAUUCCUGGGCCAUAGUCCAGACCUCAGGAGGGAGCCAGAGAACCGGUAUUUUUAACAGGGACCCUGGGUGAUGCUCAUGGUCAGUGAGACACACUGUGGCGGAGGAAAGGGAAAGUAUUAGUCACUCAGCUGUGUCCAACUCUUUGAGACCCCGUAGACUAUAACCUGCCAGGCUCCUCUGUCCAUGGGAUUCUCCAGGCAAGAAUCCUGGAGGGAUUGAACAUGGGCUCCUGCAUUGCAGGUGAAUUCUUUACCAUCUGAGCCACCAGGAAGCCCAGGGUCACAUAUAUUGCCUGAGCGUAUUUGUGGAGACGAGGGAGGUCUUCCCUCUGGACUACUGCCUAAGUAACUGCUGUUUCUCUGAGAGAAGUAUCCCCUUCCCCCACACACAGCUCACAGCCCCACCCAUGAGGGAGGGGCUGAACUCCAGGCCACCCUCCCUGGUGGAAAACUGCUGUCAUCACAUGGGGCUCCCGGGAAGGGGGCUGUGACAAAAGCACCUCUUUCAGAAGCCUGCGUGCCUAUAACAGACUAGGUUAGAGGAUGGGGGUCACUGACGAGAUUUAUCAAAUGACAAAACAUGUUUUUCAUGGUAUCCUGACUAGAUUAUCCCCACAAUCCAAAAGAAAGCAAUAGCGUAUGAAUGAACCAGUGAAUGAAAGGGAGACAUUCUCCAAGAAAAAUGCCAGUGUCUAGACGGUCUGCCGUCUAGGUCUGCUGCUUAAGGUUUGCUGUUCCCCACCCAAGACUCCCACUUCAAACCAACACCAGGCCCACUGUCGUUCAAGAAGCUCUCUAGGAACCGUCCUACCUAGCAGAGCACAGAGAACUCACACUUUAGCACUGCAUUUCCC
ensembl:lncRNA